rnacentral:rRNA from 1 species
GAUGAACGCUGGCGGCGUGCCUAAUACAUGCAAGUCGAACGGACAGACGAGGAUCUUGCUCCUCUGGCGUUAGCGGCGCACGAGUGAGUAACACUGGGAGAGCAGCCCUAUCAGACUACGAUAACUACUAGAACCCGGAGCUAAUACCGGAUAAUAUAUUCCACCGCAUGGUUCACUAGCGACUGACGAACUUGCUGUCACUUCUAGAUCGAACCGCGCCGCAUUAGCUUGUUGGUACGGUAACGGCUUACCAAGGCACUGAUGCGUAGCCGACCUGAGAGAGUGAUCGGCCACGCUGGAACAGAGACACGAGCCAGACUCCGACGGGAGGCAGGAGUAGGGAACCACGCGCAACGGGCGAAAGCCUGACGGAGCAACGCGGCGUGGGUGAUGAAGGUCUUGGGAUCGGAAAACAGUGUUACUAGGGAAGAACAAAUGUGUAAGUAACUGUGGACGUAUUGACGGUACCUAGUCAGAAAGCCACGGCUAACUACGUG